UACGUAGGGGGCAAGCGUUGUCCGGAUUUAUUGGGCGUAAAGCGCUCGCAGGUGGUUCGUCGCGUCGUGCGUGAAAGACCCCGGCUCAACUGGGGGGUGUCGUGCGAUACGGGCGGACUGGAGGCCAGUAGGGGGAUGCGGAAUUCCGGGUGUAGUGGUGGAAUGCGUAGAGAUCCGGAGGAACACCAGCGGCGAAGGCGGCAUCCUGGACUGGUCCUGACACUCAGGAGCGAAAGCGUGGGGACGCGAUCCGG
rnacentral:rRNA from 1 species